rnacentral:rRNA from 1 species
UUUGGUGGCGAUAGCGAAGAGGUCACACCCGUUCCCAUUCCGAACACGGCAGUUAAGCUCUUCAGCGCCGAUGGUAGUUGGGGGUUUCCCCCUGUGAGAGUAGACGCCGCCAAG